GGCUGUAUUGAUGGCAAGUCCUUGGGGAGGUCUCUGAGGCGAGGCAAGGAGACCACAGCUCUGGAGAGGUCAGAGAGCACAGGACCAGGGCAGGGCGAGGAGUUAGGGUUGCUAUUAGCUUGGUCACUUUCUUGCCAGUUUACUUAAGUGCAAAAUUGUGCAACUCAAAAGCAGUAACUGAUUUACUCAACCUCACUGAGCGCGGUGGACUUGUCCAACUUGAGCGCUCUGCACGGAAUUGUUCAUCUCCCCUCUCUGCAGCCGGACUUCCGGUCUAGGUAUUGAUUCAGACUUCCUGCUUCACAUGUGCCUUUACGUCAGCUGGGGGCGCUCAGUAGGGCCAGACACAGUGACGGGCUGAGAAAUUUCUUGCUAGCCUCUGCCUUGUAGGCUACUGUGUGGGCUUUGUGGAACCUUCUCGUCUAAGCUGUGUGUUCAUUGGACAGACCCAGUGCAGCACAGGAUACUUACCAGGUACUGUUCUAGGCACAGAGGACACAGCUGUAGCAGGCAGGCCUGCUGUGCGCCGAGCUGUGUCCCGGGCACAUCCGGUUCAGGGCCCAGAGGCGGGCAGUUCGGGAAGCGUGGACGGCCGCGUGUCUGCUUCGCUGCCUCUUGGAGAGGCCUGACUCGGCGCAGGUGCCGCCAGGAGGUCCUGAGGUUCUUGGUUUCUAGAGUCCUUCCAUGUGCCCAUCAUUGCUUCUGUGACUGCAGCUCCGGCUGGUGGGACCCCAUCUUCUAACAGGAGACUAGAGGAAGGGACUGGCGCCGCUUCAUGGCUUCUUCUGUCUGGAGGAUGCCCUUUGCAGACACAGUGCUGCCGGGCUCCACAGCCUCCAGGGCUGAGGCUGCAGGUGAGGCCCCUCCAUGCCUUCUGGGAAGCUGGCCACACCUUCUGACAUAGCCAGCACUGCUCAGAGCUCUCCAACUUUGUGCCGCUUUGGGGCAUUCUGGGCCAAUUACUACUUUCGAUGCACUCUAAUAUGUUCUGAUGUCUGACAAUGACCCAUGAACUUGAUUGCAGGACCCACAGUGAAUGAAGCAUGGUCCUCAGACUGAGAGACAUUUCAUUCUCGGUACUCAGUUCUUUGGUACCUAUAAUGGAAGGCAUUUUUCUAUGAGGACAUUUAUAUUCAUGUAUAUUAUAGAUGUAAUUUUAAGUGUGAUCCUUCUCUGCUCUUUUCUAAUGUGCUUUCCUGUAUUUAACUGUUUCUCAUGUGAGAAUGAAUGUGCUUUAGUCCUAACAUCUGCAUAGUAUUCCAUCACAUCCUGUUCACCUAAUUUCAUUAACCAAUUAAACUCCUGAUGGGCAUUUGUCUUAUUUCUAGUUAUUUUGCUCCCGAUGAGCAUGUUUACCUACUUGGGGGAUUAAUGCUUUGAGUCUUCUAUGGGAGAUGGGUUUUAUUUAGUGAGAGAUAUCUAGAUUUUGGAAACAUUG
rnacentral:lncRNA from 1 species